AGGAGAAAGGAAGGCACCUUUCCUGUCAUUUCGUAAACGUCUCUUGGCAAUCCCGGGGCUAGGGAGUCGGCUGUCACACUUGGGGAUACAGGCGCUACCAGCCUGGCCCAAGGCUGUGCAACCAAAGCGGCAGGAGACCGGGAACCCUCUGUGGACGUGCCUCCAAACCUUGCAGACACCAGAGAGAAAAGGGAGCUUUCUCAGGCGUUCGGCAAGUAGAGGAAAAAGACCCGCUCUAGCCUCAAGUUGGGAAACUUUUCCUCAAAACUGCAUUAUCCGUUGUGAGCUGCCUGGAAACCCCUAGCUUCUUUUCAAGGGAUUGUAACGACUUGUGUCCACAAUUACAGGAACCCAAGCAAUUCAGGAGGAAAAAAAAUACACACACGGACUACAAGCAUGAGUCAAAUGGCUUGUGUAUGUGGCUUUGGAACAUUCUUAUCUAAACACGCCUGUGUCCCCGCACUCGGGCUGCUUUUUCCACCAGUGCCUCAUCCGUAGUCAGUUGUCCCUUGUCUGCCUACAUUUUCUGGAAAAACUGGAUACCCCACCCUCAGACUUAAAGAGCUGUUCUGAAUCUCUCCUCUACGCCCACCAAGCCGAGCUCAGUCCUCCGGCUCCUCUCUCCCCAGGCCCUGCUUGGAGGCCGCUGCCAUCCGUGGUCCUGAGGCCAGCGAUGCGCGCGUGGGGAAGCCGUCCGGAGGGAGUAACAACCUUUAAACACGUGACCGCGUGCCAUCUUAGGUGUCACCUCGAAGAGCCAAGACCCCACUACGGCACAUGAUCAAGGAAAACUCUGAGGCCAUGGAUAUACCUUCAACUUGAAGUGAAGUUCAAGGAUGAGGACCCUUGCACUGGCAAUCUUUGGCAUUCUUUGACUUCGUAGAAGCAGCUCCUGAUUUCACCUUUCAUCUUCAUGUGCUGUUUCUCUUUUUAUGAGAACACCAGGCAUUUUGGAUUAAGGCUCACCCUACUGACCUCGUUUUAACUUACCUCUGUAAAAUCCCUAUCUUUAAAUAAAGUCACUUUGUGAGGUACUGGGAAUUAGGACUUCAAUGUAUGAAUUUUGAGGGACACAGUUCAACCUAUAACAUGCUCUGUAACAUCAUCAUGGGUCCAGGUACUUUCCUUCUUUCCUCCCCACCACCCUUAGCUUGUUGGCUUUGAUUCUCGUGUGUGUUGCCUCACACUUAACAGAUAGCUGCUGUACCUCUAGGACUGCUCCACAUUCAGGGCAGGAAGUGGAAGGAAGUGAAAAAUGGCCACACUGUCCACAUCUGGUCUUUUUUAUCAAGAAAGCAAGAGCUGCCUUUGGUUUUUAUCAUUGGAUAAAAACUGGAUUAUGAGGUCAGAACUGGAUCAUGAGGUCAACUUCAGCUGAAAUAAAAACUGGGAAGUAAAGUAUUUAGCUUUCCAGUCUCACUAGGAGAGGAAGACAAGGGAGAAGAAGGCUGGGAAUUGGUGUUGAGUGAACAUCCCUGUAUUGUCCACCACAGCAGGUUUAGCCAUUUUCUUACCAACCCUCUAAUAUCCUCAGCAUAUAUGUGUUCGUAGCAUCUGCUUUGCUAAUCUCCAACCUUAGAUGAUCCCAUCACCUGCCUUCUCUGUUAACCACAUCCAGGCCUGGUGGGAGCUCCUGGAGGAAACCUCUCAUCCUCUAAACUGGAACCACUGCUAAUCCAUGGUCUCCAACCAAAGGAGUCUCUAGGAUUAUUUAGAAAUACUUGUGCACAUCUCUGAUCAGCUCCCUCUUCUGUUCGUCAUUGAAAUUCCAAACUACUAUGUUUUUCUUCAUUUACUCUCCUGCCACCCACUCUCUGUCCCUAGGAAAACCGUGGUUAUUAUUGUGAAUAGCCUCAAUUUUCUUUUUGCUUACUCUACUGGUCUCGACUUUCCUUCGAGUUCCCUAGUCCCCUUUGGCUUGUUCAAAGUUGAUUCCUUAAUACAGGCUCUUUAUCUUAUUUCCUCUAGCCUCCCCCGGACUCUGCUGCUUGGAUUACUCCCUCUGUUGUCCAAUUUUCACCCUUUCCCUUGCUAUUAUCUUCUUUUUUAGCUAUAAACAUGUUCAAGUCUCUUCCACUGAAAAGUAACUAAAUCCAUCAUUUCCAGCAUACACACAUUCUUCUCCAGCUACCAGUCUUCUCUGUCUUCUAAUUUUUCUGAUAAACUUCUUGGAGGAAUAGCCUUUACUUGUCUUCAUCUCUUCUCCUUUUAA